AUAUAAAAGUCGCGCACUUGAUACGUCAUGUCCUCUUGAUAUCGACGUCUCUGUAGGAAGACGUGUCUCAGAAUAUGAGGGCUAAGUGGAGGAAGAAACGUAUGCGCAGGCUGAAGCGCAAGAGGCGAAAGAUGAGGCAGAGGUCUAAGUAAACCACCCUAACCCUCACCACAGUCAGCCUGCGGCUGCAGUACAUGCUGGCUUUCCAGAUGAGCCUGGGAUGGACUGGCACUAAUUGCAGCUCUGAAGGAAUGGCUCACUGCCGAAAAUACAACAUAUUUUGUAUGUUGAAAUAUCCAUAUGAAUCCGUGUAAACGCAAAGCCAUCUCUUGUUUGUAUUAACAGACUUAUGGUCCUCCUUAGACGUGUCUCAGAAUAUGAGGGCUAAUGGCUCACUGCUGACAGCAGACAGUGUGUGGAGUAACUCUCGGGAUGUUCUGAAAUACAGUUUUUAUUUAGCAAUUUGAAUUAAAAAAUGUUCAGUUGUGCAA